rnacentral:rRNA from 1 species
AAUAGAUACCCUGGUAGUCCACGCCGUAAACGUUGGGCGCUAGAUGUGGGGACCUUUCCACGGUUUCCGUGUCGUAGCUAACGCAUUAAAGCGCCCCGCCUGGGGAGUACGGCCGCAAGGCUAAAACUCAAAGGAAUUGACGGGGGCCCGCACGAAGCGGCGGAGCAUGCGGAUUAAUUCGAUGCAACGCGAAGAACCUUACCAAGGCUUGACAUACACGAGAACGGGCCAGAAAUGGUCAACUCUUUGGACACUCGUGAACAGGUGGUGCAUGGUUGUCGUCAGCUCGUGUCGUGAGAUGUUGGGUUAAGUCCCGCAACGAGCGCAACCCUCGUCGCAUGUUGCCAGCACGUUAUGGUGGGGACUCAUGUGAGACUGCCGGGGUCAACUCGGAGGAAGGUGGGGAUGACGUCAAAUCAUCAUGCCCCUUAUGUCUUGGGCUUCACGCAUGCUACAAUGGCCGGUACAAAGGGCUGCGAUGUCGUAAGGCGGAGCGAAUCCCAAAAAGCCGGUCUCAGUUCGGAUUGAGGUCUGCAAC